UACGGGGGGGGCAAGCGUUGUUCGGAAUUACUGGGCGUAAAGGGCUCGUAGGCGGCCAACUAAGUCAGACGUGAAAUCCCUCGGCUUAACCGGGGAACUGCGUCUGAUACUGGAUGGCUGGAGUUUGGGAGAGGGAUGCGGAAUUCCAGGUGUAGCGGUGAAAUGCGUAGAUAUCUGGAGGAACACCGAUAGCGAAGGCAGCUCGCUGGGACGGUACUGACGCUGAGGCGCGAAAGCGUGGGGAGCGAACAGG
rnacentral:rRNA from 1 species